AGCAGUGAAUACAGUUCUAUCACAAUUUGCGGGAUUACAAUAUAAGAAUGGCUACCUAACAACGCAAAGUAGUUCUACACAGAUUUUCUUGUCACACACAAGUGAUAAGAUUUUGAAUUGUCAGUAGUUCAUUUUUGAUUGUGUUAUUUCUAUCGUAUAUUAUUUGCAUGUUUUCAGGAUAUAAUCAGUAAAAAAUACCAUUAGUAUUCAUUCGCGUUAACUUUGAGUAAGGAAGUAGUUCGUACCAAAACAAAGUUUUCGACGCUAUUUUUGUAUGUGAAAGCUGAUCUCAUCAUUUUCUAAAAGUAGGUACAGAAAACUUACCAAUAUUAUUUAAACCUAAUGUAAUCAGUUUUGGAAUUCUUAUUUGGAUUUCAUGAUGUGUAAACUAACAGUGUUGAUAAUUCAGGUGUCUUGAUAUAUUUUUUGUUGUUUGAGUUGUUUCCCUUGGUUUUCCGCAAUAUCACUAGUUUUGUCUAUGUUUAAGCGGCUUUGUUUGUAAAAAGUUCAAAGUGUUCUUAAUUUAUUGGAAAUAUGGAUUAUUGAUAGUUGAAGUUACAGCAGAGAGAGAGUUUGACAGUAUGCGUGUUUGAAGAAGAUAAUGCUAUUAUUGGUAGAUCUACAUUCAAUUCCACGAACUGAGUGUUGAUUUCCUCGAUUUCAUUGACUCGAUGAUUCAUUCUCUGAUUGAUGAUUGUUGAAUGUUGAUUGAAUGUUCUAAUGAUCAAUCAACUUAUUGAUUUACUGAUUGAUUGGACAUGUCAUGGAGCUUAAUAUAGAUGGAGAAGUAACUUAGACGUCAUACAGUUAAAUUCAGUAUUAUUGGGGUUGUUCUAACGCAAGUUAUCAUGUGUUUCGGGAUUUUCCAAGAUUUGUUGCAUCCUGGGUAAUAGUAGCCAAAAUACCGCCAUAUUGAAUUCCAAGAGGAACAUUGACAAAAAAAGACGAAGCAUUUUCUACUUACAUAAGAAGCAAUAGUUAUUUAUGUUAAAACGUACCAUACACACUUUUCCACACAGAUAUUUCUCCAAAAAAAAACAAUGUCGGCAAUGUAAACAGUAGUUCAUGGAUAUCGCUGAAGUUUAACGAGAGUGCGAGAAUCGGGGACUAGUGGGAAAACCCAAUUAUUACCGAAGCACACUGUGGAUCUGAAUCUAUCAACUAUUUCCUGAGCUUCCUAUCCAUUGUAUAUAUAUCUGUGGUAUCUGUGGACAUGUAAGACGAAUAUAUGUGAACUGUAAGAUGUUGAAAUGUGCAAAGUUGUUUGUUUAGAAGAGAAAAACACAAUUUUUGGAGAAACUUUUUGUUUGAAUGAUCAAGGUAUAAACACUUUUUGUAAAUGGACAUCAGGCUACCAUUUUCAUAGUAAUGGCAGGGCUUCCAUUAAUGGAAGUUUGGGAGUCAUUUCACUCCUUGAAUUUGGCUUGUGACUUCCAAAAUGUAAUGCUUUUUUCUUCUUUACCAAUAUUUUGUGACUUCCAAUGUCAAGACAUUUUGCAGUCUUUGACUUCCAAAUUUUGAAUCUUAAUGGAAGCCCUGAAUGCCAAUGGACGUACAUGUUUUACCUAAAUUGUAUUGGAAAUAUGUGAAAAACUUCCUUUUAAAAGUUUCUAGCUGCAGUUAAGCAGAGAAAUGCAUUGGAUACCUCAGAAUAUUGCUAUGUUGUUAAAAAAUUUCCAAGCCUUAUGGUCACAUAUUCAAGGAAAAAUUCGAAGAAAGGAAAAUAGAUUGUCAGGUGUAUAGAUUUCCAGUCUGCUUAUCAUUUACAUACAAUCUGGAAAACUUCAGUAGUGUCACUGGGGUCAAAAUUAAUCCUGUCUAAUGGUAAUGUUGUAAAAAGUUCUAUUUUUUGUUUAAAGCAUAAAGUUUAAUGUAUAUAUGUAUUAUAAUAGAAAUUAGAUAUAUGUAUGGAUAUUUUGUGUAAACCAACAUGUGAAAACCCUGGAACAUCAUUGCUAAAGCAAUAUUGUUAGGUACAAUACCAUACAUUUAAUAUUGUUAGGUACAAUACCAUACAUUUAAAAGGCAAGAAAGGUACGGUAAUAAUAUCAUUUACUAUAGAUUUAGAAUGCAAGAAAAGAUAAAAUAUCAUUCCUCGCUUCUUAGUACAAAAAGUGCCAUAUCACUUUUAUAUUUAUAUUAAUGUUUACUGCAUAAAACACUUUCUUACUUUUCAUUUUUAGCUAGACUAUACAAAGUAUAUGGAGAGCCGUCCUUCUUGCCCCGGCGUCCGCGUCCUUAUUUAGAUUAAAGUUUUGGUUUUCCAUAUCAUCAACCACAUCUUAUGUGACAAGGUUCAUAAUUCUAGCACCACUUUUUUCAGAUUUAUCUCCCCUUGAACUUAGAAUUUUCCUUAAAAAAUAUUAUUUUCUAUCGUUACUUCCUUAUUUCUUAAGGGAUCAACUUCAUACUUCAAAUAUAUGUUCCUUAUCAUCAACCACAUCUUAUGUGACAAGGUUAAUUACUCUAGCACCAAUAUUUUCAAAUUCAUCUCCUCUUGAAGAUAGAAUUUUCCUAAAAAAAGUUAUUUUUAGCUCGACUAUUUGAUAAGAAUAAGUAGAGCUAUUGUAGUCACCAGUGCGUCAGUGUUGGUGUCGGCGUCUGUGUCAGCGUAGGUGUAGUAACAUAUGUUAAAAUUUUUGUAAUAUCUCCAAUAUCAAAGUCCAUUGAUAUAUGGCUUUGAAACUUUGCACACAUGUUCACCAUCAUGACCCCAACCUGUAGACAGGAGGAGAUAACUGGAUCAAGCAUUUUGACAGAAUUAUGCCCCUUUUCUAACUUAAAAGAAAAGUUGGCCCUAUAACAGUAACAUGGAUUUAAAGGAAAAUUUGGCCCUUUUGUUAACAUUUUACAUUAUCAAGGCUCUUUUUCUAUCAAGCACUUAGUAUGGUAGAGCGUUGCUGUCCUACCGACAACUAUUAUUUACUGUUACUUAUUUAUUUCAUAAGGGAUCAACUUCAUAUUUCAAAUAUAUGUUCCUUAUCAUUAACCAAAUGUUAUGUGACAAGGUUGUUAACGCUAGCACCAAUAUUGCAAGAAUUACCUCCCCAUGAACUUAUAUUUUUUUUACUUGAAAAAUAUUAUUUUUUACUAUGACUUCUUUAGUUUCAAAGGCAUCUUUCUCUUACUUCAAAUACAUAUUCCUUAUCAUCAAUUACAUCUUAUGUGACUAGGUUCAUAACUCUUAAAGCAAUAUUUUCAGGUUAAUAUCCCUUUGAACUUAGGAUUUUUUUAAAAGAAAUAUUAUAAUUAAUUUAAUUUACUUUUUAGCUCGACUAUUCGAAGAAUAUGAGAGCUAUUGUAGUCGCCCCGGCGUCAGCGUCCGCGUCAGCGUCUGCGUUGGUUAAAGUUUUUUGUAAAGUCAAAUAUCUCAAUUAUUACUUGAGAUAUUCAAUUGAAACUUACAAUACUUAUUUAUAGUAACAAGGCCCAUCAGAUUGACAAGUUGGAUAACUCUGCCUACAAUAUUGACAGAAUUAUGCCCCUUUUUAACUUAGAAAUUUGGUUAAAGUUUUUUGUAAAGUCAAAUAUCUCAAUCAAUGCUUGAGAUAUUCAAUUGAAACUUACAGUACUUAUUUAAGUAACAAGGUACAUCAGAUUGACAAGUUGGAUAACUCUGCCUACAAUAUUGACAGAAGUAUGCCCCUUUGGAACUUAGAAAUUUUGGUUAAAGUUUUUUUGUAAAGUCAAAUAUCUCAAUUAUUGCUUGAGAUAUUCAAUUGAAAUUUAAAAUACUUUUUUAUAGUAACAAUGUACAUCAGUUUGCAAAAUUGCAUAACUCUGCCUUCAAUAUUUGCAGAAUUAUUUGCCCCUUUGAAACUUAGAAAUUUUGGUUAAAGAUUAAAGGUCUUCAAAGAUAUUUACUUGAAACUUUACACAUGCACUUAGGGUCAUAAUUGGACGGUCAUAAUUGUAUGUCACUGACCAAGUUCCAUAACUCUAUCUUGCAUUAAGGCUGAUUCAUAUCCCCUUUUCUACUUAGUCUCUUGGUUAAUGUUUACAUGCAAGUUUUACAUAUCUCAAUAACUAUUAAAGAUAUUCAUUAAAAACUUCACAUAUGCAUUUAGGGUCAUAAUUGUAGGUCACUGACAAAGAUCCAUAAUUCUAUCUUGCAUUUAGGCUGAUUUUUCUCUCCCUUUUUCAAUUUAGAAAUUCAUGGUUAAGUUUUUCUUGUAAGUUGUUAUCUCAAUAACUACUAAAGGGUUGGUGCCUUUUUCGGGACAAUUUUAUGCAUUCAUAAUAAUAAAGCAGUGAGUUACUUGAUAAAACAUCUUAAUAACAAGCCUUUGUACCUUUUCUGUCAAAUUUAUUUAUUCAUAGGUAAUUAGUAUUAUUAUACUCAAUAAAACACCCUUGUGACAUUACCUUCCAAAUAGUCAAGCCAAUACUGUAUAGUUAGACUCUCUCUUAAGCCUAUAACAUGAAUUUAUAAAAAAAAAUUAGCCCUUUUGUGAACUUAAAAAAUUAAACAAUAUAAAGGCUCUUUUACUAUCAAGCACUUAGAAUAGUCGAGCGUGCUGUCCUACAGACAGCUCUUGUUUAUAUUUCUUAUCAUUACACAUAUGUUGUGCGACAAGCAUGACUAUUUCCAGAAUUACCCCCCCCCCCCACCUUGAACUUAUUUAUGGAAUAUAUGUAAACAAAUGUUCAUGGUUUUGUCUUCCAUACCAACUUAUCUCAGCCUCUUGAUAUUUGGUAUACAGUAUUGACGUGGUCCCAUACCGUCGGAUUUGAUUUCAGGUCGGUCGCUCACCACGCCCUGUUUACCGUUAAAUUUUCAACAUUAAUGGUCAAUGGUAGGAAAUUUUCGUAACAGUUUUUUUAGCAACUACUUAUCACAGGCUCUUGAUAUUAGACAAACAGCAUUGAAAUAUGGUCUCAUACUGUGGGAUUCGAUUUCAAGUCUUUCACUCAUCCACUUCCUGUUAACUGACUUAGUUAAAUUUUCCACAUUAAUGGUCAGUGGUAAAUUUUUUCAAAACAUUACAGCAUCAUGAUAUUUGGUAUAGAAAUGCAACCUGGCCUUUUCUGUCUUUGACCCAUUUUUUUAUGCCCCCCUUCGAAGAAGAGGGGGUAUAUUGUUUUGCUAAUGUCGUCUGUCGGUCGGUCUGUCCGUCGGUAGACCACAUGGUUUCCGCUGAUUAUCUUGAAAAGUAUGUAUCACAAAGUCUUCAUAUUUCACACAGUGAUUGGUCUUCACUAGUAGAUGACCCCUAUUGAUUUUGGGGUCACUAGGUCAAAGGUCAAGGUCACAGGGACCUUAAAUGUCAAAAUGGUUUCCGCUGAUUAUCUUGAAAAGUAUGUAUCACAAAGUCUUCAUAUUUCACACAGUGAUUGGUCAUCACAAGUAGAUGACCCCUAUUGAUUUUGGGGUCAAAGGUCAAGGUCACAGGGACCUUAAAUGUCAAAAUGGUUUCCGCUGAUUAUCUUGAAAAGUAUGUAUCACAAAGUCUUCAUAUUUCACAUAGUGAUUGGUCAUCACUAGUCGAUGACCCCUAUUGAUUUUGGGGUCAAUAGGUCAAAGGUCAAGGUCACAGGGGCCUUUAAUGUCAAAAUGGCUUUCGUUGAUUUUUCCAUAAUUGAACACUUCCAUGUACCCAUUUUUGGCAAGUUUCUGUAAUAAAAUUACCAAUUAUGUGAGUCAAUGGCUAGAAAGGGGGGUAUAUGUGUCGUUCGACAUUCUUGUUUUUUUUUUUUGUUUUUUUUUAAAUUUUGAAAUCAUUCAUUUAUUAUUGUUGAAAUCUACUUAUAAUACCUUUAAAAUACCAUGUUCCCAGUACUUUUUAUUUACAUGCUUAAGUUGUUCUUAACAAAACAAACUUGUACAUUCCUUUAUUAGAAAUUGUUUUUUUUAUAUAACCAGGCACAAGUGACAUGAUAAUAUUUAUUUAUAUGCUAUUAUCAUUGUGGACACAAACUGUAAACAAAGGUUACUUAAUCAUUUUUUAUUCUAGUCAAAGUAAAAAAUAUUUUGCAUGUGUUCAUUAUUUAUCUAUUGAAAUUUGACAAACAGUGAUUGCACUAGAGUUAUAUCAGAAAGUUUGUGGGAGCUUUACAUGCUCAUAACAUUUCUAUCUUUGUCAGAGAAAUAUUUGACUUCUGAGAACUAUUUUGACUUCAAUUUCCGAAGAAACAUGAAACUACACCCCAAAUUUAAAUGCAUAAUAACUAUUACAUUUGUUUGACUUAACUGUUUCUUAUGGUCAAUAGUGUUACAUGUAUAUAUUUUUUUUUAUGUUCAAUUUACAUUUGCUUGUUUUUCUAUCAUUUCAAUCCAUUGUCUUAAUCAUUAUAUAACUUGAUUAUACCUUAAUUAUGUAGCAUUGUUUUUAGAUUUACAGUGUAUUUGCAAUUUUGUGAACAUUUAUCAGUAAGUAAUAUUCUUGAUAAAAGAAAUUUCACAAUUGAUAUGAAGUACCAAGCCAUUUAUACAGUGUGUUUCCGAUUUAUGAAAAUGUUUUUACAAAUGACUUAAAAUUGAGCAAUCACCAUACUUUCUAGCAUAAGAAUCUUAAAAUAAAAUUACUUAAAUUGCAAGCAAGUUGCAAUUUUAUACAUGAGAUAAACAUUAUCGUGACCAAAUUUGUUUUUCAUAUUAGCAAGUUCUGUAUAUAUGCUUUAAUUAGAAAAGAACACUGAUUAUGUAUGAAGUAACUGAAAUAUUGAAAGCUUUAUAAUGGAAUGUUUGUCAUGCAACAUUAAAUUGUGUAAGAUUCAGACUAUUAGAUAAGGCGAUGUACCUAUUAAUGCUGUUAUAAUUACAUGUAUUAUUAUUGUGAGUAAAAAGGUUCUGGGGAUAUUUCUAUCAUGUUUUAACCAGGGGCAUAGAUAAUAUAUAUUGUUUACUUUUUUAUCAAUAUUGCAAUUGGUUUUAAAGCUGUGUUUUCUUAAAUAUGGAUAUUAUUGAAUCAUCCUUGACAUCAGUAUUCUCAUUUUUUAGCUCACAUUAGCAAAAGGUCAGCUAUUACAGACAGUCAAAGAUUCCUGGUCUGUCCGUCAUCCAUAUUUCAAUAAUGUCAUAUUAGUUUGAAAACGUCAAAAAUUCUCAUUUACUGUGUGCAAGAACGCUUUAAAUUAAUUUGGUCUUUUGCAUGAUAAGGUCACAGUAGGUAAAAAAAGAUUAGAUAUUACAACCAUCCU